rnacentral:lncRNA from 1 species
GCUGGUUGGGUAGAACAGAACAGGCGUAUUAUUAUUAACAAGGGGACGAUAGAGAAACGAGUGGGAAAGGCAUGAAGCACGUUAUAAGAUUUAAUAAUGGUGGAUUCAACUUCAACCCAACCAUAUUCUUUCAUGAUUGAUUGAUUGAUCUGUUUUUUUUUUUUCUUUUUUCUUGUUGUUGUUGUUGUUCACAAUCUUGAAAAGAAAAAGAAAAAGAAAAAGAAAAUGUUUUUUUUUUGUUUUUGUUUUAACGUUUUCGGUUUUAAUGGUUGACGCACAUAUGAAUGUGAUGUCGGAACAGUUUCGAGUGACGUGGUGGCUUCCCCUCCUCGCUUCUCAUGCCUCCAAGUUGCUUCCGUUGAAA